UACGGGGGGGGCAAGCGUUGUUCGGAAUUACUGGGCGUAAAGGGCUCGUAGGUGGCCAACUAAGUCAGACGUGAAAUCCCUCGGCUUAACCGGGGAACUGCGUCUGAUACUGGAUGGCUGGAGAUUGGGAGAGGGAUGCGGAAUUCCAGGUGUAGCGGUGAAAUGCGUAGAUAUCAGGAGGAACACCGGUGGCGAAGGCGGGUCUCUGGGCCGAUACUGACGCUGAGGAGCGAAAGCGUGGGGAGCGAACAGG
rnacentral:rRNA from 1 species